UAGGGAAUCUUCCACAAUGGACGCAAGUCUGAUGGAGCAACGCCGCGUGAGUGAAGAAGGUUUUCGGACCGUAAAGCUCUGUUGUUGGUGAAGAAGGAUAGAGGUAGUAACUGGCCUUUAUUUGACGGUAAUCAACCAGAAAGUCACGGCUAACUACGUGCCAGCAGCCGCGGUAAUACGUAGGUGGCAAGCGUUGUCCGGAUUUAUUGGGCGUAAAGCGAGCGCAGGCGGAAGAAUAAGUCUGAUGUGAAAGCCCUCGGCUUAACCGAGGAAUUGCAUCGGAAACUGUUUUCUUGAAUGCAGAAGAGGAGAGUAGAACUCCAUGUGUAGCGGUGGAAUGCGUAGAUAUAUGGAAGAAUACCAGUGGCGAAGGCGGCUCUCUGGUCUGCAACUGACGCUGAGGCUCGAAAGCAUGGGUAGCGAACAGGAUUAGAUACCCUGGUAGUCCAUGCCGUAAACGAUGAGUGCUAAGUGUUGGGAGGCUUCCGCCUGCUCAGUGCUGCAGCUAACGCAUUAAGCACUCCGCCUGGGGGAGUACGACCGCAAGGUUGAAAC
rnacentral:rRNA from 1 species